GAAAAUAAAACAAAAGAAGGAAAAAUGGAAAUGAAGAAACAAAGAAGGAACGAAUAAAGAAAGAAUGAAGAAAAGAAAGAAAAAAAAGUGAGGAAAAAAGGAAGAGGAAAGAAAAUGUAAUGCCAAAGCGUUACAUACAGCAGAGUUUGCAUUUUUGAUUUCGUAAAUCAAAAAGAAAAAAAUUACAAUCAUUUAAUUAUUCAGAAAAAAAAACUGAUUGACGAUAACCUGCCGGAUUAUAAUAGCAUUCUUCUGUUCACCUCCUUUAUGAGAAUAAACAAAGAGGCCGAUGCGCGGUUGCAGUGUAGUGUAUAUACUUAAAGUUUAAGGCGAAGUAAAAGUUCAACGCGACACUGUUUUAUUAACAAACAAAAUUGGAAUGCAAAACAUGUGAUCAAGAAAAAAAACCAGGAAAAUUUGGAUCAACCAUUUACGUGAGGCAGGUCACACGAGGGAAUCAUUUAAUCUUGGUGAGACUUUAAGGUUGAAGAAACUGAAAUGUCAGGAUCGUUUCGAAUGAUUUAAGUCGUGAA